rfam:Zootermopsis nevadensis contig32045, whole genome shotgun sequence.
GCCACGGUGAUAUAGCGGUUAGAACGCUGGCCUUGUAAUCCUGGGGUCUCGGGUUCGAUUCCCGACGGUGCCC